UCGCUCCUACCGAUUGAAUGAUCCGGUGAAGAAUUUGGACUGUAGUAGCUUUCAAUGUCUUGAAUUCUAUUAUGGAAAAUCUUGUGAACCUUAUCACUUAGAGGAAGGAG
rnacentral:rRNA from 1 species